GGAGCGGGCCGGGCGGCCGCGCGGGUCUCUUGUUAGACCCGUGAGGAAAGUCCGGACUCCACAGGGCAGGGUGCCUGCUAACGGCAGGGCGGCGCGAGCCGACGGAAAGUGCCACAGAAAAGAAGACUCCGGAUCUACGGGUCCGGAAAAGCUGAAACGGUGCGGUAAGAGCGCACCAGCGUCACGGUGACGUGGCGGCUUGGCAAACCCCACCCGGAGCAAGGGCGAAUAGGAGCGAUCAAGGCCGGCCCGGCCGACGCUCGGGUUAGCCCGCGAGAGGCCGACGGCGACGUCGGUCCCAGAUAGAUGGUCGUCCACGACAGAAUCCGGCUUACAGGCCCGCUCCCACU
rnacentral:RNase_P_RNA from 1 species